ACAGGUGGUGCAUGGCUGUCGUCAGCUCGUGUCGUGAGAUGUUGGGUUAAGUCCCGCAACGAGCGCAACCCUUGUCCUAUGUUGCCAGCGGGUAAUGGGGACUCGUAGGAGACUGCCGUGGUCAACACGGAGGAAGGUGGGGACGACGUCAAGUCAUCAUGCCCCUUAUAUCCAGGGCUGCAAACAUGCUACAAUGGCCGGUACAGAGGGCUGCGAGACCGCGAGGUUGAGCGAAUCCCAAAAAGCCGGUCUCAGUUCGGAUUGGAGUCUGCAACUCGACUCCAUGAAGGCGGAGUCGCUAGUAAUCCCGGAUCAGCAACGCCGGGGUGAAUACGUUCCCGGG
rnacentral:rRNA from 1 species